GCCAGGUGUGGUGGCUCACGCCUGUAAUCCCAGCACUUUGGGAGGCUGAGGCGGGUGGAUCACCUGAGGUCAGGAGUUCGAGACCAGCCUGGCCAACAUGGUGAAACCCCGUCUCUA
rnacentral:SRP_RNA from 1 species